UGUUGUUGCAGUUAAAAAGCUCGUAGUCGGAUUUCAGUAUUAGGCCCUUCUUCCAAUACGGUUGCUAGUGGUCUUUACUUCCUUAACAGAAUCUUUCAUCUCAUUAAUUUGGGGUGUUUGGGGCCUGUUUCUUUUACUUUGAGAAAAUUAGAGUGUUCAAAGCGGGUUUUCGCCUGGAUAUUACUCUUGGAAUAAUAAUAUAGGACUUUGGUUCUUUUUUGUUGGUGACUUGGAACCGAAGUAAUGAUUGAUAGGGACAGUUGGGGUCAUUCGUACUAUGAAGCGAGAGGUGAAAUUCAUGGACCUUUGUAUGACGAACUACUGCGAAAGCAUUUGACUAGGAUGUUCCCGUUGAUCAAGAACGAAAGUUGGGGGAUCGAAUACGAUCAGAUACCGUCGUAGUCUCAACCAUAAACUAUGCCAGCUAGGGAUGAGCGAUUGUCUUCAACUGACAUCGUUUGCACCUUAUGAGAAAUCAAAGCAUUUGGGUUCCGGGGGGAGUAUGGUCGCA
rnacentral:rRNA from 1 species